UACGAAGGGUGCAAACGUUGCUCGGAAUUAUUGGGCGUAAAGAGCGCGCAGGCGGUCGUUCAAGUCGAGUGUGAAAGCCCCCGGCUCAACUGGGGAGGGUCACUCGAUACUGAUCGACUUGAAGGCAGGAGAGGGAAGCGGAAUUCCCGGUGUAGUGGUGAAAUGCGUAGAUAUCGGGAGGAACACCAGUGGCGAAGGCGGCUUCCUGGCCUGUUCUUGACGCUGAGGCGCGAAAGCUAGGGGAGCAAACGGG
rnacentral:rRNA from 1 species